GGGUUGUGAGGUUAAGCGACUAAGCGUACACGGUGGAUGCCCUGGCAGUCAGAGGCGAUGAAGGGCGUGCUAAUCUGCGAUAAGCGCCGGUAAGGUGAUAUGAACCGUUAUAACCGGCGAUACCCGAAUGGGGAAACCCAGUGUGAUUCGUCACACUAUCAUUAACUGAAUCCAUAGGUUAAUGAGGCGAACCGGGGGAACUGAAACAUCUAAGUACCCCGAGGAAAAGAAAACAACCGAGAUUCCCCCAGUAGCGGCGAGCGAACGGGGAGGAGCCCAGAGCCUGAAUCAGCAUGUGUGUUAGUGGAAGCGUCUGGAAAGGCGCGCGAUACAGGGUGACAGCCCCGUACACAAAAGCGCAUGUGCUGUGAGCUCGAUGAAUAGGGCGGGACACGUGGUAUCCUGUCUGAAUAUGGGGGGACCAUCCUCCAAGGCUAAAUACUCCUGACUGACCGAUAGUGAACCAGUACCGUGAGGGAAAGGCGAAAAGAACCCCGGCGAGGGGAGUGAAAAAGAACCUGAAACCGUGUACGUACAAGCAGUGGGAGCACCCUUUGGGGUGUGACUGCGUACCUUUUGUAUAAUGGGUCAGCGACUUAUAUUCUGUAGCAAGGUUAACCGAAUAGGGGAGCCGGAGGGAAACCGAGUCUUAACCGGGCGUUAAGUUGCAGGGUAUAGACCCGAAACCCGGUGAUCUAGCCAUGGGCAGGUUGAAGGUUGGGUAACACUAACUGGAGGACCGAACCGACUAAUGUUGAAAAAUUAGCGGAUGACCUGUGGCUGGGGGUGAAAGGCCAAUCAAACCGGGAGAUAGCUGGUUCUCCCCGAAAGCUAUUUAGGUAGCGCCUCGUGAAUUCAUCUCCGGGGGUAGAGCACUGUUUCGGCUAGGGGGCCAUCCCGGCUUACCAACCCGAUGCAAACUGCGAAUACCGGAGAAUGUUAUCACGGGAGACACACGGCGGGUGCUAACGUCCGUCGUGAAGAGGGAAACAACCCAGACCGCCAGCUAAGGUCCCAAAGUCAUGGUUAAGUGGGAAACGAUGUGGGAAGGCCCAGACAGCCAGGAUGUUGGCUUAGAAGCAGCCAUCAUUUAAAGAAAGCGUAAUAGCUCACUGGUCGAGUCGGCCUGCGCGGAAGAUGUAACGGGGCUAAACCAUGCACCGAAGCUGCGGCAGCGACGCUGAUGCGUUGUUGGGUAGGGGAGCGUUCUGUAAGCCUGCGAAGGUGUGUCGUGAGGCAUGCUGGAGGUAUCAGAAGUGCGAAUGCUGACAUAAGUAACGAUAAAGCGGGUGAAAAGCCCGCUCGCCGGAAGACCAAGGGUUCCUGUCCAACGUUAAUCGGGGCAGGGUGAGUCGACCCCUAAGGCGAGGCCGAAAGGCGUAGUCGAUGGGAAACGGGUUAAUAUUCCCGUACUUGGUGUUACUGCGAAGGGGGGACGGAGAAGGCUAUGUUGGCCGGGCGACGGUUGUCCCGGUUUAAGCGUGUAGGUGUGUGUUCCAGGUAAAUCCGGUUCACUUUAACACUGAGGCGUGAUGACGAGGCACUACGGUGCUGAAGCAACAAAUGCCCUGCUUCCAGGAAAAGCCUCUAAGCAUCAGGUAACAUCAAAUCGUACCCCAAACCGACACAGGUGGUCAGGUAGAGAAUACCAAGGCGCUUGAGAGAACUCGGGUGAAGGAACUAGGCAAAAUGGUGCCGUAACUUCGGGAGAAGGCACGCUGACACGUAGGUGAAGUGAUUUACUCAUGGAGCUGAAGUCAGUCGAAGAUACCAGCUGGCUGCAACUGUUUAUUAAAAACACAGCACUGUGCAAACACGAAAGUGGACGUAUACGGUGUGACGCCUGCCCGGUGCCGGAAGGUUAAUUGAUGGGGUCAGCGCAAGCGAAGCUCCUGAUCGAAGCCCCGGUAAACGGCGGCCGUAACUAUAACGGUCCUAAGGUAGCGAAAUUCCUUGUCGGGUAAGUUCCGACCUGCACGAAUGGCGUAAUGAUGGCCAGGCUGUCUCCACCCGAGACUCAGUGAAAUUGAACUCGCUGUGAAGAUGCAGUGUACCCGCGGCAAGACGGAAAGACCCCGUGAACCUUUACUAUAGCUUGACACUGAACAUUGAGCCUUGAUGUGUAGGAUAGGUGGGAGGCUUUGAAGUGUGGACGCCAGUCUGCAUGGAGCCGGCCUUGAAAUACCACCCUUUAAUGUUUGAUGUUCUAACGUGGACCCGUGAUCCGGGUUGCGGACAGUGUCUGGUGGGUAGUUUGACUGGGGCGGUCUCCUCCUAAAGAGUAACGGAGGAGCACGAAGGUUGGCUAAUCCUGGUCGGACAUCAGGAGGUUAGUGCAAUGGCAUAAGCCAGCUUGACUGCGAGCGUGACGGCGCGAGCAGGUGCGAAAGCAGGUCAUAGUGAUCCGGUGGUUCUGAAUGGAAGGGCCAUCGCUCAACGGAUAAAAGGUACUCCGGGGAUAACAGGCUGAUACCGCCCAAGAGUUCAUAUCGACGGCGGUGUUUGGCACCUCGAUGUCGGCUCAUCACAUCCUGGGGCUGAAGUAGGUCCCAAGGGUAUGGCUGUUCGCCAUUUAAAGUGGUACGCGAGCUGGGUUUAGAACGUCGUGAGACAGUUCGGUCCCUAUCUGCCGUGGGCGCUGGAGAACUGAGGGGGGCUGCUCCUAGUACGAGAGGACCGGAGUGGACGCAUCACUGGUGUUCGGGUUGUCAUGCCAAUGGCACUGCCCGGUAGCUAAAUGCGGAAGAGAUAAGUGCUGAAAGCAUCUAAGCACGAAACUUGCCCCGAGAUGAGUUCUCCCUGAGACUUAGAGUCUCCUGAAGGAACGUUGAAGACGACGACGUUGAUAGGCCGGGUGUGUAAGCGCAGCGAUGCGUUGAGCUAACCGGUACUAAUGAACCGUGAGGCUUAACCUUACAACGCCGAAG
rnacentral:rRNA from 1 species